rnacentral:rRNA from 1 species
AGAGUUUGAUCCUGGCUCAGGAUGAACGCUGGCGGCGUGCUUAACACAUGCAAGUCGAACGGGCUCUUCGGAGCUAGUGGCGGACGGGUGAGUAACGCGUGAGAAUCUGCCUACAGGACGGGGACAACAGUUGGAAACGACUGCUAAUACCCGAUGUGCCGAGAGGUGAAACAUUUAUGGGCUGUAGAUGAGCUCGCGUCUGAUUAGCUAGUUGGUGGGGUAAGGGGCUACCAAGGCGACGAUCAGUAGCUGGUCUGAGAGGAUGAUCAGCCACACUGGGACUGAGACACGCCCCAGACUCCUACGGGAGGCAGCAGUGGGGAAUUUUCCGCAAUGGGCGAGCCUGACGGAGCAAUACCGCGUGAGGGAGGCCUGACUAUGGGUUGUAAACCUCUUUUUUCAGGGAGGAAUCAAAUGACGUGUACCUGAAGAAUAAGCAUCGGCUAACUCCGUGCCAGCAGCCGCGGUAAGACGGAGGAUGCAAGUGUUAUCCGGAAUCACUGGGCGUAAAGCGUCUGUAGGUGGUCCAAUAAGGUCUGUUGUCAAAGCGUGGGGCUCAACCUCAUACAGGCAAUGGAAACUGAUUGACUAGAGUAUGGUAGGGGUAGCGGGAAUUCCAGGUGUAGCGGUGAAAUGCGUAGAUAUCUGGAAGAACACCAGCGGCGAAAGCGCGCUACUGGGCCAUAACUGACGCUCAUGGACGAAAGCUAGGGGAGCGAAAGGGAUUAGAUACCCCUGUAGUCCUAGCCGUAAACGAUGAACACUAGGUGUUGCGUGAAUCGACCCGCGCAGUGCCGUAGCCAACGCGUUAAGUGUUCCGCCUGGGGAGUACGCACGCAAGUGUGAAACUCAAAGGAAUUGACGG